rnacentral:rRNA from 2 species
CGGGUGAGUAACACGUGAGCAACCUGCCCUAGGCUUUGGGAUAACCCCGGGAAACCGGGGCUAAUACCGAAUAUUCACUUGCGGACGCAUGUUUGUGGGUGGAAAGUUUUUCGGCUUGGGAUGGGCUCGCGGCCUAUCAGCUUGUUGGUGGGGUGAUGGCCUACCAAGGCGACGACGGGUAGCCGGCCUGAGAGGGCGACCGGCCACACUGGGACUGAGACACGGCCCAGACUCCUACGGGAGGCAGCAGUGGGGAAUAUUGCACAAUGGGCGGAAGCCUGAUGCAGCGACGCCGCGUGAGGGAUGACGGCCUUCGGGUUGUAAACCUCUUUCAGCAGGGACGAAGCGCGAGUGACGGUACCUGCAGAAGAAGCGCCGGCCAACUACGUGCCAGCAGCCGCGGUAAGACGUAGGGCGCGAGCGUUGUCCGGAUUUAUUGGGCGUAAAGAGCUCGUAGGCGGCUUGUCGCGUCGACUGUGAAAACCCGUGGCUCAACUGCGGGCCUGCAGUCGAUACGGGCAGGCUAGAGUUCGGUAGGGGAGACUGGAAUUCCUGGUGUAGCGGUGAAAUGCGCAGAUAUCAGGAGGAACACCGGUGGCGAAGGCGGGUCUCUGGGCCGAUACUGACGCUGAGGAGCGAAAGCGUGGGGAGCGAACAGGAUUAGAUACCCUGGUAGUCCACGCUGUAAACGUUGGGCGCUAGGUGUGGGGGGCCUCUCCGGUUCUCUGUGCCGCAGCUAACGCAUUAAGCGCCCCGCCUGGGGAGUACGGCCGCAAGGCUAAAACUCAAAGGAAUUGACGGGGGCCCCGGCA